UUAAACAUUUAUAUGAUGUUCCAUUUAUUCAGUUUUGGUUUAAAUUAAGUUCACUUCAGUAAACGGUGAAUUAUUCAUCCUUUGACACUUAUAUACUACAAAACAAAACACUUAUUUACUGAGACCUCGGGAAAGCAGUAUGUUUUGUGGCCGCUCGACCGGUCGCGGGUCCACAAAACACACUGUUUCCUUUGGUCUCAGUUAAUAAGUGAUAAAUAUGUAUAACUAAAUUAUCCCCGUCUUAGUUCAUCUGGGCAAACAGCGGAAAUCGUUAAACAAUUCAACAACAAUUGUACAACGACUGAACAAAUAUAUUUUAAAUAGUUCGUUUACUUGUCCAAUCAGGUUUGAGCUAUAGGUCAGCGCGUUUGAAUUGUUUAACAAUAUUCGAUAUUGGCAAAGAUAAAGUAAAAACGCGGACAAUAUAACUCCGCCCCCUCCCUUGUUUCGGGCAACUGCGGGCCUACAAUUCCGAUGCAGUUGUUUAAUUAACCAACUGAGCUAGACAUACUUCAUGUGGCCUUUAUUAUGGUGUAUCGGAUUGAUCCUACCCCACCCCACCCCACCACGCCUCUAACCCCGGGUUUGGGCCAUAUCAAGAUAUUACCACCUCCCUCCACCGCCUGAUAUGGACAUUACUUACGUAGAAUAAGCUAAGCUCGAUUAUUACGGCGCAAAAACUUAUAAGAGUCAAGUGAAGUAUCUACAGUACCGUGAGCUACAUAUCCCAGUUGAGCAGAGUUGAACACUAAUUUAGGAAAAUAUAUAGUGGACGAUACCAGUACAAGGUAAGGGUAAAUAUCACGAUUUAGGACACCUCGCCCGAUAGAACUCCCAAUAUUCUGUAUCCCAAUCAUGGUGAACGUUCUCCACUGGAUCGCAGAGUCGCAGGUACGAUUCCUGCCAUGGGGCCAUGAGUUGCAAUUUUCACAGCUUCUCUUGGUUAGGUCUGAAAAUUGUAUAUAAUCCUCCGCUCCACAUUUCCAUCUGCCAAAACCAUUCAAGCAUGGAAUACUGCACAACAAUCUUACCUUGGUACACAC
rnacentral:lncRNA from 1 species